rnacentral:misc_RNA from 1 species
GGAAGAACGCAGCGAAAUGCGAUAAGUAAUGCGAAUUGCAGAAUUCCAGUGAGUCAUCGAAUCUUUGAACGCACAUUGCGCCCUUUGGUAUUCCGAAGGGCAUGCCUGUUCGAGCGUCAUUAUCACCCCUCAAGCCCUCGGCUUGGUGUUGGACGGUUUGGUGGAGGCCCCCUCGGGGGUUCCUGCCCCUCCCAAAGACAAUGACGGCGGCCUCGUUGGACCCCCGGUACACUGAGUUCUUCACGGGACACGUAUCGGACACAUGGGUUUACGGGACACGGUCUGCCUCCCCUCAGGGAGAAUCUUUCUAAGGUUGACCUCGGAUCAGGUAGGGAUACCCGCUGAACUUAAGCAUAUCAAUAAGCGGAGGA